UGGGAUUGACGAUGCCUCCGACCAAUUGGGAACGCCGGGUCGGCGGUAGAUGAACUCGGCUGUCUGUAAUGGCGGAGCGUGGCGGGGACGGAGGGGAAGGCGAGCGGUUCAACCCGGGGGAGCUGAGGAUGGCUCAACAGCAGGCCUUGAGGUUCCGAGGCCCAGCUCCCCCACCAAAUGCUGUGAUGCGAGGCCCGCCACCUCUCAUGAGACCACCUCCUCCUUUCGGCAUGAUGAGAGGCCCUCCUCCACCACCCAGACCCCCCUUUGGACGGCCCCCUUUUGAUCCUAAUAUGCCACCAAUGCCUCCUCCAGGAGGAAUACCUCCACCCAUGGGCCCACCACACCUCCAGAGACCACCUUUCAUGCCUCCACCCAUGGGAGCUAUGCCUCCUCCUCCAGGCAUGAUGUUCCCACCAGGAAUGCCUCCGGGGACUGCUCCUGGUGCUCCAGCUCUGCCUCCCACUGAGGAGAUAUGGGUAGAAAAUAAAACUCCAGAUGGGAAGGUUUAUUAUUAUAAUGCUCGGACUCGUGAGUCUGCAUGGACCAAGCCAGAUGGAGUUAAGGUUAUUCAGCAAUCAGAACUAACGCCUAUGCUUGCAGCCCAAGCACAGGUUCAGGCCCAGGCCCAGGCUCAGGCACAAGCCCAGGCCCAGGCCCAGGCUCAGGCACAAGCCCAGGCUCAGGCCCAGGCUCAGGCUCAGGCCCAGGCCCAGGCCCAGGCACAAGCCCAGGCUCAAGCCCAGGCUCAAGCACAAGCCCAGGUCCAGGCUCAGGUCCAGGCACAAGUCCAAGCACAAGCACAAGCAGUAGGUGCUCCCACCCCUACCACCAGUAGCCCCGCACCUGCAGUGUCCACGUCAACACCGACAUCUACCCCAUCCUCCACCACAGCUACCACAACAACUGCAACUUCAGUUGCACAGACAGUAUCAACACCCACAACACAAGACCAGACCCCAAGUCCUGCUGUUUCAGUUGCCACGCCUACAGUUAGUGUUUCAGCUCCUGCUCCUACAGCCACACCUGUGCAAACUGUACCCCAGCCGCACCCACAGACGUUACCUCCUGCUGUUCCUCACUCAGUACCUCAGCCAGCAGCAGCAAUACCUGCUUUCCCACCAGUGAUGGUGCCUCCAUUCCGUGUGCCCCUUCCUGGCAUGCCAAUCCCACUUCCAGGUGUAGCAAUGAUGCAAAUAGUCAGCUGCCCGUAUGUAAAGACAGUCGCUACCACCAAGACCGGUGUAUUACCAGGAAUGGCCCCUCCUAUAGUACCCAUGAUACAUCCCCAGGUUGCUAUUGCAGCUUCACCUGCUACCUUGGCUGGAGCAACAGCAGUUUCUGAGUGGACUGAAUAUAAAACAGCAGAUGGGAAGACGUACUAUUACAAUAAUAGAACACUAGAAUCAACAUGGGAGAAGCCUCAAGAACUGAAGGAAAAAGAAAAAUUAGAUGAGAAGAUUAAAGAACCAAUUAAGGAGGCAUCUGAAGAGCCAUUGCCAAUGGAGACAGAGGAGGAAGAUCCUAAGGAAGAACCUAUAAAGGAGAUCAAGGAGGAACCCAAAGAAGAAGAGAUGACUGAAGAAGAAAAGGCUGCCCAGAAGGCAAAGCCAGUAGCUACUACUCCUAUUCCUGGUACUCCGUGGUGUGUUGUUUGGACUGGUGAUGAGAGGGUCUUCUUUUACAAUCCCACCACUCGCCUGUCUAUGUGGGACCGGCCUGAUGAUUUGAUUGGAAGGGCAGAUGUUGACAAAAUUAUUCAAGAGCCCCCUCAUAAAAAAGGAUUGGAAGACAUGAAGAAGCUAAGGCACCCGGCUCCCACAAUGCUGUCAAUCCAAAAGUGGCAGUUCUCGAUGAGUGCAAUUAAAGAAGAACAAGAACUAAUGGAAGAAAUGAAUGAAGAUGAGCCUAUUAAAGCAAAAAAGCGGAAGAGAGAUGAUAAUAAAGACAUUGAUUCAGAGAAAGAAGCUGCCAUGGAAGCUGAAAUUAAAGCUGCCCGAGAAAGGGCCAUUGUCCCUCUGGAGGCUCGAAUGAAGCAGUUCAAGGACAUGCUGCUAGAGAGAGGGGUGUCUGCUUUUUCAACAUGGGAGAAGGAGUUGCACAAGAUAGUAUUUGACCCUCGGUACUUGCUUCUCAAUCCUAAAGAAAGAAAACAGGUGUUUGAUCAAUAUGUCAAGACCAGAGCAGAGGAAGAACGCAGGGAAAAGAAAAACAAAAUAAUGCAAGCCAAGGAAGAUUUCAAAAAAAUGAUGGAAGAAGCGAAGUUUAAUCCCAGAGCUACUUUUAGUGAAUUUGCUGCCAAACAUGCUAAAGAUUCAAGAUUCAAAGCAAUUGAAAAGAUGAAAGAUAGAGAAGCAUUGUUUAAUGAAUUUGUGGCAGCUGCAAGGAAGAAAGAAAAAGAAGAUUCGAAGACGAGAGGUGAGAAGAUUAAGUCAGAUUUCUUUGAACUGUUAUCUAAUCAUCACUUGGAUAGUCAAUCUCGAUGGAGCAAAGUAAAAGACAAAGUAGAAAGUGACCCACGGUAUAAAGCGGUGGAUAGUUCAUCAAUGAGAGAAGACCUUUUCAAACAGUAUAUAGAGAAAAUAGCUAAGAAUUUAGACUCAGAAAAAGAAAAAGAGCUGGAAAGGCAAGCCCGCAUUGAGGCAAGCCUUCGAGAACGUGAAAGAGAAGUUCAAAAGGCACGUUCUGAACAAACUAAAGAAAUCGAUCGAGAGAGAGAGCAGCACAAACGAGAAGAAGCUAUCCAGAAUUUCAAGGCUCUUCUGUCUGACAUGGUACGUUCUUCAGAUGUGUCCUGGUCUGAUACUAGGAGGACCCUCCGGAAAGACCACCGCUGGGAAUCUGGGUCCUUAUUGGAAAGAGAGGAGAAAGAGAAACUUUUUAAUGAACAUAUUGAAGCACUUACCAAAAAGAAAAGGGAGCACUUUAGGCAGCUUCUGGAUGAAACUUCUGCGAUUACCUUAACAUCCACAUGGAAAGAAGUGAAAAAAAUAAUUAAGGAAGAUCCUCGGUGCAUUAAGUUCUCCUCCAGUGACAGGAAAAAACAAAGGGAGUUUGAAGAAUAUAUCAGAGACAAAUACAUCACUGCCAAAGCUGACUUUAGGACACUUUUGAAAGAGACCAAAUUCAUUACAUACAGUUAAUUUAGUGAAAGAUGUGAAAGUGAAAGCUUGUGAAAGAUGCUGGGAUUGGCAGCCCCGCAGACUGAAGUCCUCUGUUCAUCCACAGAACAGAUCCAAAAAGCUAAUCCAAGAAUCUGAUCAGCACCUGAAAGAUGUAGAAAAAAUUUUGCAGAAUGACAAACGGUAUCUAGUACUGGACUGUGUGCCAGAGGAGAGGAGGAAACUAAUCGUGGCGUAUGUUGAUGACCUGGAUCGCCGAGGUCCACCCCCACCUCCCACAGCAUCAGAGCCCACUAGACGAUCCACAAAAUAAUUCUAAAUACCCUUCCAUGGGCUUGCUGUUAAUUGAAAAUGCUUGCAUGAGCCAAAUUUUCAGGUUUUUACUUCUAUGUGCAUUAGUCAACCUAUUGCAAAACCACCUGAGGAACAGAAGGAGAAGCGAUUGUGGGCAGUCUCUGAACAGAACACUUUGAAAAUAUUUAAUGCUUUUCUUUGUGUGGCAUGACUGACAUACAUACUCAAAUAUAGGCUGUCUCUAGUAAAUUUAAAAUCUUGAAGCUAAAAAUCAUCCUUUUAUAAGGUGUGGAAGCCAGUGACUUGGUGAUAUUCUUACUAGCAGUGUUACUCAGCAAGACAGGAAAAUUUGUGGUAGGAGCUUGGAAUACCACAGACUCCAGGAAAAUUGAAGUUGGAGUUUGUUUUCGAUUUUGUUUUUUAAGCGGGUAAAAGAGAAAACACUGAAUUGAAUUCUUCCAGAGACUAUGAAUAUUCUAACGGACAUACUUUUACCUUUGUCUCUAAAGAACAGUUUAGUUGUAUUGUUCACGUCCGUGCUUUGAUGCUCCCUCUGGAGUUCUAGGCCAAGUCUCGUUUACCCCACCCAGGAGAAGAUGUAUUUAGUAAUUUCUUCUCAGGUAUGAACCACAUUCAUAACUAACAUGUUGGCCAGAAUGGAAUCCUGGUUUAAACAUUCUUUAUUCUCCACUGAAUGAUCUCUACCAAUAUUCUCAAUUAGACAACAAAACUCCCUUUCUGGGUGUUCCUGUAAACUACUCCUGUUUGAAUGUUUGAACUUUUGUUUCUAAAAAGUUUAAUUUUAAGAUGUUUGAAUGUUGAAUUUAUGUAUUUGAACUACAAUAAACCAACUCUUUUAUAUA